GCCCUUAUAGCUCAGCUGGUAGAGCACCUGACUUGUAAUCAGGGGGUCCGGCGUUCGAAUCGUCGUGGGGGCA
rnacentral:tRNA from 1 species